rnacentral:rRNA from 1 species
UACGUAGGUGGCAAGCGUUGUCCGGAUUUACUGGGCGUAAAGAGCGCGCAGGCGGUCAGAUAAGUCGAAUGUGAAAGCCCCCGGCUCAACUGGGGAGGGUCAUUCGAUACUGUUCGACUCGAAGGCAGGAGAGGGAAGCGGAAUUCCCGGUGUAGUGGUGAAAUGCGUAGAUAUCGGGAGGAACACCAGUGGCGAAGGCGGCUUCCUGGCCUGUUCUUGACGCUGAGGCACGAAGGUCAGGGGAGCAAACGGG